GGGGAUUUAGCUCAGUGGCAUAAGUGCCUGCCUUGCAAGCAGGUAGCCAUGAGUUCAAUCCCUG
rnacentral:tRNA from 1 species